ensembl:lncRNA
AUUCAUGUUGUAAAGUGUCAAAGAGAGUGAUGGUGAAUAUUGGAGAAACUGCCAAUUUCAGCUGUGAAUAUUCACAGAAUCAUAUACAUGAUCCCAAGAUCAUAUUCAAAGAAGGAAAAGACUCCAUUGAGAAAAUUUACAGCAGAUGGAAGAAGAAAGAAAGAUUCAGUAUUUCUGAUGACAAACAUAAAAACAUCUUCAGUGUGAGAAUCACUGCUGUGACACCAGAUGAUGGAGGAGCUUAUUUAUGUGGAGUUUGGAUCGACAGACAUUCGCACAGUUACUCCAUUAUUACUACUAUUCAUCUUCACAUUAUUGAUUCAUGUUGUGGAGCAUCAAAGACAGUGAGAUUAAAUAGUGGAGAAAGUGCUGCUUUCACUUGUUAAUAUUCAAAGGAUCAAAGGUAUUUUAAAAAGAUCAUAUUCAAAACUGAAAAUGACAUCAUUGAUGAAGUGAUCUCCAUUACUGACAAAUGGUAUCAGAAAGAAAGAUUGAGCAUCUAUGAUAACAUACAGAACCUCUUUACUGUGAGAAUCACUGCUGUGACACCAGAUGAUGGAGGAGUUUAUUUAUGUGGAGUUUGGAUCGACAGACACUCAUACAGUUACUACAUUAUCAAUACUGUUCAUCUACAUAUUAUUAGUAAGUAUAAAGUGGGCACGUCUAGUGUGAGCGGCUACUCAGGAGGUGGUCUGAUGAUCAAGUGUGAACAUCCUCAAUACAAAACCAAACCAAAAUACAUCUGUAAAGAAUCAGACGGAUGUUCAGAGAGGAAGAGUCCAGGAGUUCAGGAUAAAUGGAUGGUAAAUGGAGAUGUUUCUUUAUAUGACGACACCAGAGCAGGAGUCUUGAUGGUGUUUUUUAGAGAGCUGAAAGCUGCAGAUGCAGGAACAUACAGGUGUGGAGUGAAAGAAUCUGACUAUACUGAGAGCUUCACCGAACUACAGCUGAGCGUCAAACACGACGCAAAAUAUCCAAAUAGCAUGACUGAGUCUGCUCAUCCUGGUGGAGAAGUCAACAUCUCCUGUCAGAUCCCAGAGAAACAUAAAGUUCAUUUCUGUAAAGAGGAUAAUAAUCACAUCUGCCAGAACAUCAGCUCAUCUAAAGUGACAGAAAUGAGUGGUUCAUCAGAGAGAAAUGAAGAGAGAGUUGUUACAGUGAGCAUCAGUAAUGUGAGUGUGAGAGAUGCUGGAGUUUACUGGUGUGGAGCAGAAACCAGAGACACAUAUCUGACUUUCAUCUCCCUGACCACUAAAAUACAGCUCAACCUCAUCAGUGAGUCCAUUCAGAUGAUUUCACUGUAAUAAAUACAGUCUGUUCAGAAUCAUUUUUGUUAAAUUAUUAAUUAUUUUCUUUUUUGUUCUUUCACUUGCAAUUAUUCUAUAAAAUGUGCUUAUUACCCAUAUAUGUUAAAACAGGCAUUUAUUUUGGAACAGAAAAGGAGUAGGACCAUCAUUCAUUUUAAUAAUUAUGUAGAUUUUAUUUCAUUCAUCUCUGGAUUGUGUCUGUGUGUUUUAUUCUCAGGUUUCUCCAUGAUCAUCAUUAUUAGUGUGUGUGUGUUUCUGCUGCUGAUCGCUGGAUUCACUCUGACUGUGUGCAAAUUAAGACACGAGAGACGAGGCGACGCUCACUCACAGUCACCCACAAUCCCCUCUGAUGGGCUCCUGUACGCUGCUGUCAGUUUCCAGAAGCAUCCAGAAGAGUCUCUCAGUGAAGCUACAGUCAGAUUAAGUAAGAAUGAGAUUCACUCUGAUUACACCACGAUCAGUCAUCGCAUGAGACUCAACGAACUGUAACAGAUCACAGAUCAUCUCAUUACCAACGAUAUUUUAAAAACAGAAACUGUUUUUUUUUCUUUUCUUUUACAUUUGUUACAUUUACAUUUAAUUUUUAAAAAUGUUGAAACAUAUGUCUUUAUUGAUCAGAGUAGAGUUGUUCAGUUCAGCGAAUCAUGAGACACUUUAAAGUUUCCGCUGCUGAUCAUGUUGCUUCUUUCACAUGUUUAAAAUAGUUUGUCAUCUCAGUUUAUCUGAGGGUGUGGUGAGAGCAGGAAAUAAAAGCCCUGAGUGACACUUCUAGAAGAUACUG